AUUGAACGCUGGCGGCAUGCCUUACACAUGCAAGUCGAACGGUAACAGGUCUUCGGAUGCUGACGAGUGGCGAACGGGUGAGUAAUACAUCGGAACGUGCCCGAGAGUGGGGGAUAACGCAGCGAAAGCUGUGCUAAUACCGCAUACGAUCUACGGAUGAAAGCAGGGGAUUCGCAAGGACCUUGCGCUCAUGGAGCGGCCGAUGGCAGAUUAGGUAGUUGGUGGGAUAAAAGCUUACCAAGCCGACGAUCUGUAGCUGGUCUGAGAGGACGACCAGCCACACUGGGACUGAGACACGGCCCAGACUCCUACGGGAGGCAGCAGUGGGGAAUUUUGGACAAUGGGGGCAACCCUGAUCCAGCCAUGCCGCGUGAGUGAAGAAGGCCUUCGGUUGUAAAGACUCUUUCGUCCGGGAAAAACGUACGACGAUCAGUUAAUAACCUGGUGUGGAGUGUAUAGGUACCGGAACGUAAAGAAAGGACAACCGGACCGUAACCGUAACGUACGCCGACG
rnacentral:rRNA from 1 species